rnacentral:pre_miRNA from 1 species
AUAUGCCUCUGGGGAUAUUGUUAAAUUGCAGAAUCUAUUUCAAUUGAUCCCAUCGGUGAGGGAGAUUUUACAUUUCUAACAAGCUCCCAGGCCUUGCCUCU